rnacentral:rRNA from 1 species
UCGAGACCCUAAAAGGAUUGGAUGACCUUUGACAACAUGUGAUCAAUUGACGGCGAUUGCUGUCUAUAUACACCGUCCAUCUAUUGUCCCUUCUUGAUUGGAGCUACAAUGAAAAGAUGGAAGGAAAAAUAAACUCGGCGCAGUUAUGUGCCAAGGAAUUAUGUUGCAUUAGAGCAUCAAUGGCUACUCGCAAUUAGCCCGGUGGGGUUAGCAGAGUGCUUUUGUUGCUUCUUAAGUAUUGUAUGACUCUCGGCAAUGGAUAUCUUGGCUCUUGCAUCGAUGAAGAGCGCAGCGAAAUGCGAUACGUGGUGUGAAUUGCAGAAUCCCGUGAACCAUCGAGUUUUUGAACGCAAGUUGCGCCCGAGGCCAAUUGGCUAAGGGCACGUCCGCCUGGGCGUCAAGCAUUAUGUCGCUUCAUUCGGCACCAAUUGCACAAUAUUUUGUGUUGCGGUGCCGGUUCGAAUGCGGAGAGUGGCCCUUCGCGCACCCAUGUGCGACGGGUUGAAGAACGGUUAGCUUUCCUCUGGACAUGUUUUGAUAAAGGGGUGGAUGUAUGCUGCCAUUUGGCCCACGUUAUCAUCUCAUUGUCUCGAGGAGGAUAUGUGUACACAUUCGUGGCUGAUCACCCGAUAAUAUCGAAGGUGGUGCCUUGAAAUGCGACCCCAGGAUGGGCGGGAUGACCCGCUGAGUUUAA